GCCUUGGUGGUGAAACGGUAGCCACGCGAGACUCAAAAUCUCGUGCUAAGUAGCGUGGACGUUCGAGUCCUCUUCAAGGCA
rnacentral:tRNA from 1 species